UAUCGAUGCUCCAUGUGAACAUGAAGUGGU
rnacentral:piRNA from 1 species